UUGGAAAAAUCAGCUGGGAAACAGAUGAGUUAGCCAAUAUUACACGAUGUAAUAUUAAGAAAGGAAGAUUAAACAUUACAUCUGCUGAGUCUCCCCCAUCAGCCAGUUCAAUGAAAUUGGAAACCAUGGACAUUUUUCAGCUAUUUACAGAGCUAAAGGCUCAAAGCCUUCAGAGAUGCUCUAAGUAUUAUAGAGGAAGGCAACCUGGACUCUGAAGUGGCUUUAUCAGAGUCAAGAGCCUUGAUGCAGCUGGAGCCUGCUCUAUUCAUUCUAUUCACCUGAAUACCUUCAGGACAAAGGAAGCCUACCACUGCAGCAGCAUAUUCCUGGUUGUCUCUAUAUGCUCUGCCAUAAAUGAGGACUGAUCAUGGUCAUCAACAACUAAGCAUAACACAGCAUUAUAAAAUGGAAUUCGCUCAAUCUCUCCAUGGCAUUUGCA